rnacentral:rRNA from 1 species
GCUACCAUUAAGUUGAGCACUCAUGCGAUACUGCCUGCGAUGAGCAGGAGGAAGGUGGGGAUGACGUCAAGUCAUCAUGCCCCUUAUACGCUGGGCUACACACGUGCUACAAUGGGCAGUACAGAGAGUUGCCAACCCGCGAGGGUGAGCUAAUCUCUUAAAGCUGUUCUUAGUUCGGAUUGUACUCUGCAACUCGAGUACAUGAAGUUGGAAUCGCUAGUAAUCGCAAAUCAGCAUGUUGCGGUGAAUACGUUCUCGGGUCUUGUACACACCGCCCGUCACACCACGAGAGUUGGUUGCACCUGAAGUAGCAGGCCUAACCGUAAGGAGGGAUGUUCCUAAGGUGUGAUUAGCGAUUGGGGUGAAGUCGUAACAAGGUAGCCG